rnacentral:lncRNA from 1 species
AACAUAUUAAACUAAACAGCAAUAAAAUGACAUUCAAAGACAAAACAAUAAUAGAUUAACCAAAUAAUAAGAGCAUGAUGUUAAGCAAACAAGGAGUAGAAGGGAAAUGAGAAAUCGACCUCAAUGAACCUGAAGUUUCAUUGUAUGGCAACUUCACAAUGCAAAUGCCGGAACCGCAGACAAAAACUCGAAUCGGCGUCGGAAUCUCGAAACCAAAACGACUUCCAUCAAAUUUAGUCAGAUUCCAUGGUUUCAAGAUCAGAAAUUAGACGAAGAAGCUAAAAUCCAACAUCGGACUUAGGACAGAACUAAAAUAACGACUAGUUAACUGACGCAGCCAACGCUUCUAUUUUCUUCAGGAUAUGCUGCAAUGAUGUAAUAUUACAAUAAGUUUAUCUUUUGUUGUUCACUAAUCUUACAUAUGUGACCAAAGAAAAUGGUUGUCCAAGGUUGAAGAUGAAGACAGAUGGUUUUUUUAGAUUUUGAUCUCUGAUGGCUUUUUGUUCAGCUAUUGUUGAUUCUUUUCAUGUUGAAAAAGAAGCUUGGGUGGUCGUUGAUGGCGUUAGGCUGGCGGGCGGCUAGCUAGUUGACUGGUUGAGAGUCGCCGGCGUUGUUGUGGCUUGGAGAUGAAGAAGAAGAUGAAAGAGUGGCUGGCGGUGGUUUCCGGCGAGCUGCUGGUUCAGUGAAGGUGGGUGGAGAUGCGGCUGCUUGUGUCUUGGGUUCAGGGGUCUUUGUAGUAUGCUCAGGGGUUGAAGAAGGCAGUCAUGGGUCCUAAAGUUGUCCUCUAGGGUUUGUCUUGUGUAGGUUAUGAAGAAGAAGGGUCUUGAACUUGGGCCUUUGGUGGUGGAUUUGAAAUUGGGCUCCAUUUGGACAAGAAGAACUGAAAAUUUCAUUAAUAAAUCCAAGUUUCUUCCAAAUUAGCAUAAAAUAUUUGUAAACACAUAAAUCACUCCUAAUUGAUUAAUGUAAGAAUUAAAAAUUAAAAGUGAAAUUUUUUUUUUGGUAUUUUCAAAUAUUAUAAAAGUAGAUAAACAUAAGUUAAAACAUAAUAAACUAAAAUAGUACUACUACAAGAAUAUUAAUGAUCUUAUCUUAAAUAUAAAAUAAGACAAAGCAAAACUAUUUUUUGUAUUUCGAAUUUAAAGUAAAAGAGUCAAAAUUAGUUGAAAUAAAUAUAUUAGGCCUAAACUAAAUAUUUAAAUACUAAAAUAUGUAAAAUCUCGAGGAGGAUCAAAAAUCACAUGUCUACAGCUACCCCUCUUUGACUAGAAAUACGAAGUAUUUUCAGACAAAGAACGACUAGACAGGUAUUUUGACCCAACCCUUAUUUAAAGAGACCAAAAAUUUAAAAGAAGGAGAAUGUGACCGAGCCCUGGUAUCCGAGCUGCCUACAUAUCCUCGGCAAUAAAGGAAUCAAGCCACGUGUAGUUCAGAAGUAAAUGAGGUGACGGAGUAUACUGAGAUGGAGAGCCGAUUGAGGUGCCGUUCUGUCAAGGUUCCGGUCCGCGGUCCUGUUAUUACAUCAAAAUCAAAAAAUAAAAAAGACUAACUAAGCCUGUCAGCUAUGAGUUACAAAAUUCUUAUCUAUAAGUCUUCUGAAGUUUGAUCUUGAGUCUUGAAUGGUUCUUCAUGCAUACUUUAGAUUUGAACCUUGACGCUCGCUAAUUGCAGGUGCUAAUUCAUUCUUCUUCAGUUUUUUAGAUCAGAACCGGACACACCAUGCUUGUGACUUUAGUCAUGUCUUGAUCAAUCCACCUCUUGUCUGCUUCUGCAUUUUGGAUUCAUUUCCCUUUUCUUUUUUUUGUUUUGUUUUUUCUUUUUUUAUUCUGGAUUGAGAUUACUUCUGUUGAUCAUCUCAGACUGUUGACUCGCAUUCUUGCCACGAGCUUCUGCUACUUCUAAGUUGAAUUGGAUUCUGAAAUGACUUCCCUUGUUCUCCAGGUGGGUGCCUGCUACUGACUUGAAACUUGAAAUGACUCUGAAAUGAACCCUAAAAUGUCUUCCCUCGUUCUCUACGUGGGUGCCUGCAAUCAAAAUAACAAAACAAAUAAAAUUUCCUGCCCUAGUUUGCACUAGGAAGAUUUGUAAAUUAUUAGCAAAACUGUAAAUCACCUAUGUCAUUGAUGCAAUGAUGAGAGCAAAACUAAAGACAUGACUGGGAUGUGCAUCUCUUAUGAGUAAAACCAAGAACAUUUGACUAGCAAAUUCAUCAGACUAAGUCUUCUAUUUUAGGAGAAAGAUUCAUCAGACUAAGAUUUUGAUCCUAGGAGAAAAUUCAUCAGAAUAAUUCCUUUUUCUUUUCUUUUUUUCUUUUUGUUGUUAUCUUAGGAGAAAGAUUCAUCAGACUAUGAUGUCGAUCCUAGGAGAAAAUUCAUCAGACUAGGUUUUCUAUCUUAGGAGAAAAAUUCAUCAGACUAAGAUUUCGAUCCUAGGAGAAAAUUCAUCCAACUAGAUCUCUUAUCUUAGGAGAAAGAUUCAUCAGACUAAGAUUUGAUCCUAGGAGAAAAUUCAUUAGACUAGGUCUCUCUUAGGAGAAAGAUUCAUCAGACUAUGUCUUUUUGUUAUCUUAGGAGAAAGAUUCAUCAGACUAAGAUUUUGAUCCUAGGAGNNNNNNNNNNNNNNNNNNNNNNNNNNNNNNNNNNNNNNNNNNNNNNNNNNNNNNNNNNNNNNNNNNNNNNNNNNNNNNNNNNNNNNNNNNNNNNNNNNNNNNNNNNNNNNNNNNNNNNNNNNNNNNNNNNNNNNNNNNNNNNNNNNNNNNNNNNNNNNNNNNNNNNNNNNNNNNNNNNNNNNNNNNNNNNNNNNNNNNNNNNUCAUCAGACUAAGAUGUCGAUCCUAAGAGAAAAUUCAUCAAACUAGGUCCUUUUUUAUUAUCUUAAGAGAAAGAUUCAUCAGACUAAGAUUUUCUAUCUUAGGAGAAAAAUUCAUCACACUAAGAUUUCGAUCCUAGGAGAAAAUUCAUCAGACUAGGUCUUCUAUCUUGUUAUCUUAGGAGAAAGAUUCAUCCGACUAAGAUUUCGAUCCUAGGAGAAAAUUCAUCAGACUAGGUUUCUAUCUUAGGAGAAAGAUUCAUCAUAUUAAGUCUUUUAUCUUAGGAGAAAGAUUCGUCCGACUAAGAUUUCGAUCCUAGGAGAAAAUUCAUCAGACUAGGUCUCUAUCUUAGGAGAAAGAUUCAUCAGACUAAGAUUUUGAUCCUAGGAGAAAAUUCAUCAGACUAGGUCUUUUAUCUUAGGAGAAAAAUUCGUCAAACUAAGAUUUUGACCCUAGGAGAAAAAAUAUGAAGAGCAAAAGCAACAUUUUAUGCACACUAGCAAAACAGGUAUGAGAAAAGAUUUGAGAAACUUCCCUUUGUCGAUUCUUCUCUUUUUUUUUCUUUUUCUUUCUUUUCUUUUUUUUCUUGUUUUUGAACCCACUUACUUGCACUGCUUUGUUCCUGUUUCAAACAAAGAAAACUUGUGAGUUUAAAUGUGGUGGUUAGUUUGUGGCCUUGACCUUGAGAGCGGCUGCUUCUACACUUGCCAAGAUAACUUUGAUUUCAACUUGGACAACCUUAACUGUUAUCGACUACCCAUUUUCUUUCAACCCUUAUCACAGAAAACACCUCUACUCCAUUCGAUCCCAAUAUCCUCUAUUUUGUUGUAUUUUGCUUAUGAAUUGACAUUUAUCGAACCCUUGCAUUUCACAUGAAUCCCAAAGCAUGUUGAUUGUUACCAACUCAAUGCGCAUACCAAUUUUCCUUGACUUACGCCACUUUGAUGUGCUAGCUAAAUUCGUUUUGUGCAAUUAGAAAAUUGAUAGCAAAUUUUGAAGUCAUUUCUCACUUGUUCUGACCAAACAGACUCAAGAAGGGACUCAAACAAAAUAAGAGGAACAAAAUAAGGGACAAGGGAAAGAGAUGAUACCUAACAAGAAAAUUACAAAGUAGAAACUUAUCAGAUGGAUACCAACUCUAAUGACCAUGACAUGCACCUUUGAAUUAAAUGGCCUAAUAUGUCAAGCAAGUCUAAUGUUCAACUCUUGUUGUACCUUUGAGCCAUGAAACUGGGCUUCAACGCUUCAAUUAUCCCAUCUGAUCCACAAUCCUCAAUUGACUUAUAGUGCCCUAAAGGUUUUCACCAUCAAGUCUCUCUCAUUUUGUUCUUUUCUCAACUCACCGUCGCCUUACGGUGCCCAUGAGGGUUUUCACCGAUAAAACUCUCUCAUUUUAUCAUUUUCCCUCUUUAUACUGAGAACAAGGUAUUACCCAUGAUGCAAGAAGGUCAUACUUUCGCCACACACUUGAUUUGACAUCCUCAAAAAUUAGUCGGAAGGUCUUUCUUUGGACCGUAAUGUAGGCUUUUGGACAGGGUUAGAAAGAAAGGGUGACAUGAAGUCUCAAAAUAAUUUAAGAUGAAAGGGUUCAAAAUUAAAACUUUUGGAAUCAGGUCUUUUGGCAAAAUUAAAACUUCUGCCCCCGUUUCUUGGAGUAUGGGGAUUUUUUUUAUGAGAUUUCUAAGAAAAUCUGCCCACUCUUGAUUUUGGGGGAUUAUGAAAUAUUUUAUUUGGUGUGACGGAAUCGUAAGGUUGCCGACGUAUCUUGUAGUGACAAGAAUCAGGUCGAACGUAGUUCAAACACAAAAAUAAUUUUUUUUCUUUUUCUCCUUUCCCCCCCUUUUUUCUUCUUUUUCUCUUUUCCCUUUUUUCUUCCUUUUCUCUUUUUUCUUUUCUUUUCUAGUUCCUAACUCUAUUUCUGAUUCCAUAAGAGGGGUAUGAAAGAAAAAAUUAGGGCUCAAAAGGAGGUAGCAAAGGAUAAAAGUGUUUGGGUAGCAGAAUAAAAUGUCUUCAUCGUACCGAACUUUAAAAAUGCCAGGUACAAGCAUGAAAUUAAAGAUAAGCAAAGAAAUCAUACACAAUAUUUAUUGAUGGCAUCAACACAAACAGAAAGCGCCAACGGGCAAUACCUUUGUCUCAAUGAAUGACACUGGCCAGUUCGAAGCAGACUUGACUCAACCUUACCUUGAUGUGAAAGAAUGCAUUUCAGCAGUGACUGAUUUAUCUCAAACUGCUUGAGAGACAUUUUCUUGUUGCAUGCUCUUAUCAACCUCUUGAUUUCCAAGACUUACUGCCUCAGUUUUACUCAAUUCAAGCUUCAAGUCAUCUAAGAAUGCGUGAAUCUUUACAUAUUCCCUCAAAUGCAUCCUUUUAUCAUAUUCAAAAUUGUGCCAUUGCAUCAUGAGUAGACUAACUUUCAAGAUCAGGCUGAGAAUUAUAUGUGCGUGUCAUGUCACUAGAGUCAGCAUGAAAAGAAUUAUAAAAGAGAAAGUGACCUAAAUAAAAACUAACUAGAACUAACAGAAAACAGGAGAUUGCAUUAGACGGAUGUUGAACAGGGUUUGAACAAAACAAGCAAAAUAGACAUGGGUUACAACCCUGGAGCAAUCCUAGAUAACACUAGACUAGUUGCUACAACUAAACAAACUAGGCAAAAUAAGAAGAAGAAGAAGGGCUUGGGUCAUAAGACAAUAUCCGGAUUCCAACCCUGAAAUAACCCGGACAACAGAAAUGACAAUAAAAUAAACUACCAAAACUCCUUCCUGGCUAGCCAAGAAAGGAGUGUCUUUCCAAUUACUAGGCUCGACAUCUUAGCCACUGGGUUGCACAUCAAAAUUACUAGGACCUUCACCAAUUUCUAUCACGUUGACCUUAGCAAAUAGAUUUUUGGUCCCUUUUGCCAACUUGUCCUUAAGAUCAACCUCUAUAACCGAGACUGAUAGCGUUGAAAACUUUGCAGUAAGUGGCCCUCCAAGGGAUUCAUAAGUGUUCUCAUAUUUCUUUUCCACACAAAUCAUGUCCACCACAUGCGUCUCAUUAUGAACAAAUAAUGGACUUUGGCUAGUAUCUGUUGCUUUUGGAUUUGUACGGUAAUGUCACCUGCAUUAAUAAUCUUCUAGACUGCUCUUUUCAGAUGCCAACCCUUUUCUAUGUUGUGCCUCGGGGCAUUAGAGCAAUAUGCGCACCUUUGAGAAAAAUCAAAAUUCUUUGGAAGGAUCUUCGACAUUUUUAUCUGAAUUGGCUCCAACAUGUCCAAUUGCCUCAGCCUUUGGAGCAAACUAGCAUAUGAUUCUCCAAUAGGAGUGAAAGACUUUUCUCUUUGCUGUUGACUAUUUUGUACUCUGGCCUUUGUUGGAACCUCUUUCGGGUAGGGGGUUGAUAUGCUUGUAGAGGUGGGUAAGACAUUUGUGGAGGCGGUGCAAGCCGUUGCGGGUUUUGUGGAUGUGGAGCAUAUGGCGGUACAUUGUGAAUAGAGUACUGGGAAUGUGAGGUAUGACUUUGGGAAUUUUGUGGAGGAAAGUAGCAUUGGUGAGGAUUAUCUGGAGUACUAGGAUAUUUAUGGGGUCGGUAUUGAGGCUGAAAGCAUUUAGCAGGAAUGCCCCCUGGAUCAUGUCUUUGGCGGGGCUCAGCAACAUCUUUUCUAUCAAUUGGAGAACUGACCCGAGCAACUUGUCCGUUCUAUCUUAACCAAAACUCCUUAAUACUUUCCUUGGGUCUCUUUCCUUAGGCAUCGGGGACUUUGAACACAGUCUCGCUAGAGGAUCGAGGAAGAGUAGCUAGUGGAAGAGCUAUAAAAGUUGGAGCAGAUGUCGGAGCAGGGUAUGAGGUUGUUUUGGCUGGUGGAGCAUGGAAAGUUUGGAAAGGAGUGCCAAGGUAAUUGUGGUAAGAGGUAAAGCCCGGUGCAUGUUGAGGAGAAAGGUCAACGGUAAUGGGAACCUGGGCUUGUGACAGUGGUGGGAUAGUUGUAAGGUUUUCAGUGUAGUUAGUGGGGAAUGAAGGUGGAGAAUGUCUCCUGAUCCAAGACUGAUACAUUUCUACCAUAUGUCGUUUCAAUCUUUGGACCUCCUCUUUCAAUUCAUACUCCGACUCCACAAACUCCCUCGAGGGGUCAACAACUCCUGUGUUCAAGUCUUUGCUAUCCAUGUCUACCUUGCUCUUUGACCUUGUGUUGUACAGAUGACUCGCCAAAGUGCCACAAACUAACCACCCUCUGUUAUGAUCACAAUGAAAGUAACAAAAAGGGAGCAAAACAAAGCCAACAUGUUAGCGUUAUGACAUUUAUCAGAUAGAAAUAUCACAUUGCGUGCAAUGCCCCUAGCAACAAUUAAUGGUUCUAGAAUGACUUCGAGGGUCACAAGAUCAUUUGACAUCAUCCCAAUUUUGCUCAUUUCAACCUUCUCUUUUCUUUCUUUUCUAGCACUUCUUGGCUUGCUCAUUUUCCUUCCUAUCUUUUUCUUUUUAAUUGUCUCUCUUUUCUUUUCUCUCAUUCCUCACAUCCACAAUUUCAUCUCUCUCUUCUUUUUUUUUAAAAGAUGCUUCGAUCGAACCCUAUGUAGGUUGCCCACGUAUCAUGUCCCUCAUGAAUCAGAUCAAGCAUAGUUCUGGAAAAGUGAUGGAUAAAAUAAACUAAAAUAAAUCUUUUUGAAUUUUCCAUUUAUAACUUUUUUUGUUUUUCAAAUACAAAAUAGGAAGUACUAUAACAAAAGACUCGAAAAUCUUAACUAGACUGACAGACUCGAUACUACUGUACAAGACAACAUAAAAUAGACUAAAAAUAAAAAGUUUCCUCAAGCAACUCGUGCAUGGAAUGGUCUUGACUAGAAUGGUCCUGGGGUAUUUGUCAUGCUCAAACUCUAGCAAAUUGAUCCAUACCUGAAUGGGAAAAAUAAGAUCAAAUAGAGUUAGUGACUCAAGAUACAUGUGACGCCACGACACCUUCUAUUGGACACAUGCAAGGCAUGAUUAAGGCUUUUUGCAAAAUGACCUAUGUGGCCAAGAUGACUAGAAAUGUAAACUCAACAAAGGUGACCUCAAAGACAUGAAAAUACCUCACUAAAGCAUAUAUGGAUUCAACUCCCAAUAAUCAUGGCCCAAAAUCAAUUUGUAGAAAUGACCCAUUUUGCAAAAACGGCUGAUAUGGCCAGAAGUAGCCAAAGAUGCAAACUCAAAAAGGAUGAACCUUAAAGUAUUAUGACACCUAGUUGUGGAAUCAAGAUCCUAAGACAUGGGUUAUUGAACCACUUUUGCGAAAAUGACCCCAUUUUGCAAGAAUGGCCGAUGUGGCCAAAAGUGGCUAAACAUGUAAGAUAUGGCUAAGACCCCGCAAAGCCAAGAACCUAAGACUUACUAGGAAGAUCGGACCCUAUGUGGGUUGCCUAUGUAUCAUGUCCCGAAAGACGAGAAUCAGGAAUGCGUAGCUCGGGAAGAUUGGACAUGGGAGAAAGCUUAAAAAAUGACACUAAUUUGGAAAAAAUAUAUUUCUUUGUCUUUUUGAGAAAUGAUGGAAAAUGUAAAAUCUUUUUGGAUUUUCAUUUUUUGAUUUUUUGGAAAAUGAGGGGAAAGUGCAAAAUCUUUUUGGAUUUUUCAUUUUCGUUUUUUUAUUUUAUUUUUUGAAAAAUGAUGGGAAAGUGUAAAAUCUUUUUGGAUUAUUCAUUUUCAUUUUUUUUUGAAAAGGUUGUGAAAACAAAUAUAACUGGGCCCUACUUGCAUCAUUUUUUACCCUUCUUUCCCAAGCAUCGGUCCGUCAAAUGACCUUUUUACCCUCAAAGGUGCAACAUGUAUCACAUAGGGAUGAUUGAUUGUAUUUUUAGGCAACGGGCCCAUUUUUGACAAAAUUUGGAUAGGCUUCCUACAAAGGGACACGGUGCCUGGGAUCGAGCCCUACUAGGUCCAAAUGACAUGAUGCAAAUAAAAAUGACCUACAGGCUGACCUAAAUUUGGGGUUCACUCGACAAGGCAAUUCGUGGUGGCACGUGGUCGAUGGCGGCUGCUCUAGCUGUUCGCCCACUCCACGCUCCCAUGCCACCCUCUAAAGACACGAGUCACUCAAAAAAGGACCGUGUACGCUCAAACGUACUCCGAAAGACUUGUUACAAAAAAAAAGACUCAGGGUUAUGCAACUGAUGACAAUUUAUAAAGCAGUAACACAUAAAGGAAAAACUGUAAACGAAUAAGCAACUAGCAAAUAAUAAAACGACAUAAACAAAAAUAAAAAUCAAAUAAAGCAAACAAAACACAUAAAAACCUCAACCGAUCAUCCUUAAAAGCCAACAAGAUCAAGUACUAGCUCGAACCUGUAAAUCCCCAGCAGAGUCGCCAGAGAUGUCACACCCUCUUUUUUUACCAAACCUCUACUUCAUCGCUCUUAAAAAAAUAAAUAAAAGAGAUUUGUAAAUCUCGAAAGGGUUUUUCAAUUAGAAAGUGACAAAAAUUUGUGUUCAAAAGGAAAUAACUCCGAGUCGUCACCUGACAUUGAUUUUGGUGUGUCAGGCCACCGUUUUUUUUAAAAAUAAUUUUUUCCUUUAAAACACUUUAGACUCCAAAACUAAAUCUGCACCAGAGACUGGGCAAGGGGGUUCAUUUGACUCGGGGAGAAGGUGUUAGGCACUCCCCAAGUCCCGUAACUAGUACGGUUGCAUACUUGAUCAAGUCGGCUUUUAAGAUAUUCAAAUUGAGGUAAUAACACAUAAAAAGAAAAUAAACAAUCAAAAGAGGCUCGAGGUCGUCCACACCUAAAUGAAAGAAAAUUAAAAGAAGAAAAAUUAAAGUUCUAAAUUAUCCUACGCUAUUUCUUCUACGAUGUUCGCCACGACCUCUAAUUACAUUCACUUCGGGGCAUGCCCCUGCAAUAAAAUAUAUACAAAUCCCUCGGGGCAUUCUCCGGAUAAAUUUAACUAAGGGAACGACCCCUCGCCUCGAAACUAACAAAAUCCUAAGGCUUGCUACCCGAGUGUGGUCGGCCUAAGCAUGCUACUAGUGAUUUCAAGCAAACAAGAUAAAACUAUUAAUGGGAUGAAUUUAAUUUCCCAUUCUAUAUGUCCAAAACCCCAUAUUCAAUACAGAACUCCAAUCAAUCUACUUAUAUAUGUAUAAUUAAUCCUUUUGUCAUCUGAAUAGUAACUAUAACAAUUAAAUAUAGAAUCAAAACUCACUCUAACUAUCAAAAUUCAUCCAAACAUAUUAAACUAAACAGCAAUAAAAUGACGUUCAAAGACAGAACAAUAAUAGAUUAACCAAACAAUAAGAGCAUGAUGUUAAGCAAACAAGGAGUAGAAGGGAAAUGAGAAAUCGACCUCAAUGAACCUGAAGUUUCAUUGUAUGGCAACUUCACAAAAUGCCGGAACCGCAGAUGAAAACUCGAAUCGGCGCCAGAAGCUCGAAACCAAAACAACUUCCAUCAAAUUCAGUCAGAUUCCAUGGUUUCAAGAUCAAAAAUUAGACAAAGAAGCUAAAAUCCGAAAUCGGACUUAGGACAGAACUAAAAUAACGACUAGCUAACUGACACAGCCAACGCUUCUAUUUUCUUCAGGAUAUGCUGCAAUGAUGUAAUAUUACAAUAAGUUUAUCUUUUGUUGUUCACUAAUCUUACAUAUGUGACCAAAGAAAAUGGCUGUCCAAGGUUGAAGAUGAAGACAGAUAUUUUUUUUAGAUUUUGAUCUAUGAUGGCUUUUUGUUCAGCUGCUGUUGAUUCAUUUCAUGUUGAAGAAGAAGCUUGGGUGGUCGUUGAUGGCGUUAGGCUGGCGGGCGGCUAGCUAGUUGACUGGUUGAGAGUCGCCGGCGUUGCUUUGGCUUGGAGAUGAAGAAGAAGAUGAAGGAGUGCCUGGCGGCGGUUUUCGGCGAGCUGCUGGUUCAGUGAAGGUGGGUGGAGAUGCGACUGCUUGUGUCUAGGGUUCAACGGUCCUUGUAGUGUGAUCAAGGGUUGAAGAAGGCAGCCAUGGGUCCUAAAGUUGUCCUCUAG